UUUCAGCGAGCCGAGCCACACCGGCUGCUCCGCCGGACGGUUGUUGCCGUAGGUCGCGAGCACGGCAUGCGCUUC
rnacentral:antisense_RNA from 1 species